rnacentral:rRNA from 1 species
GGGCGCAGCCUGAUGCAGCAACGCCGCGUGAGGGACGACGGCCUUCGGGUUGUAAACCUCUUUUAGCAGGGAAGAAGCGAAAGUGACGGUACCUGCAGAAAAAGCGCCGGCUAACUACGUGCCAGCAGCCGCGGUAAUACGUAGGGCGCAAGCGUUAUCCGGAAUUAUUGGGCGUAAAGAGCUCGUAGGCGGUUUGUCGCGUCUGCUGUGAAAUCCGGAGGCUCAACCUCCGGCCUGCAGUGGGUACGGGCAGACUAGAGUGCGGUAGGGGAGAUUGGAAUUCCUGGUGUAGCGGUGGAAUGCGCAGAUAUCAGGAGGAACACCGAUGGCGAAGGCAGAUCUCUGGGCCGUAACUGACGCUGAGGAGCGAAAGGGUGGGGAGCAAACAGGCUUAGAUACCCUGGUAGUCCACCCCGUAAACGUUGGGAACUAGUUGUGGGGUCCAUUCCACGGAUUCCGUGACGCAGCUAACGCAUUAAGUUCCCCGCCUGGGGAGUACGGCCGCAAGGCUAAAACUCAAAGGAAUUGACGGGGACCCGCACAAGCGGCGGAGCAUGCGGAUUAAUUCGAUGCAACCG